rnacentral:lncRNA from 1 species
GUUAAACAUUGAGGAGACAGAGAGGAGUCACAGUCCAGACGACCAACAGGUUAAACAUUGAGGAGACAGAGAGGAGUCACAGUCCAGACGACCAACAGGUUAAACAUUGAAGAGACAGAGAGGAGUCACAGACCAGGCGACCAACAGGUUAAAAAAGAGAGUUAAAAUAAAAAGGUUAUAGUUGUGGUGGGAGCAAUGAGUCUCUCAAUCUCUCUCUUCCCUAUCUGUCUCUCUCUCUCUUUCUUUCUAUCUCUCUCAUCCCUAUCUGUCUCUCUAUCUCUCUCUCAAUCUCUCUCUUCCCUAUCUGUCUCUCUCUCUCUCUCUCUCUUUCUAUCUCUCUCUUUCUCUCUCGCUUUCUUUCUGUCUGUCUCUCUCACUUUCUCUCACCCCCCCUCACUCUC